rnacentral:rRNA from 1 species
AGUGAACGCUGGCGGUAGGCCUAACACAUGCAAGUCGAACGGCAGCACAGUAAGAGCUUGCUCUUACGGGUGGCGAGUGGCGGACGGGUGAGGAAUACAUCGGAAUCUACUUUUUCGUGGGGGAUAACGUAGGGAAACUUACGCUAAUACCGCAUACGACCUACGGGUGAAAGCAGGGGAUCUUCGGACCUUGCGCGAUUGAAUGAGCCGAUGCCGGAUUAGCUGGUUGGCGGGGUAAAGGCCCACCAAGGCGACGAUCCGUAGCUGGUCUGAGAGGAUGAUCAGCCACACUGGAACUGAGACACGGUCCAGACUCCUACGGGAGGCAGCAGUGGGGAAUAUUGGACAAUGGGCGCAAGCCUGAUCCAGCCAUACCGCGUGGGUGAAGAAGGCCUUCGGGUUGUAAAGCCCUUUUGUUGGGAAAGAAAGGCAGCAGGUUAAUACCCCGCUGUUCUGACGGUACCCAAAGAAUAAGCACCGGCUAACUUCGUG